AUGGAGGAAAAGGCGACCCAGAAAGCGGCGGCGGAGGGGAACCCCUCGCCGGAGUUGUGCCUGAGGAUUCCCGGGGACUACGCCGUCGGCUCCAUCCCCACCGUCCUAUACGUUCCCGACUUCAUCUCCCAGACCGAGCAGGCCCAGCUCCUCCACCAUAUAUAUCAGGCACCGGCGCCCAAGUGGAAGAUUUUGAAAAACCGGCGGCUCCAGAACUGGGGAGGAGUGGUGCAUGAGAAGGGGCUACUGCCGCAGGCGUUACCUCCAUGGCUUACAAAGAUAACUGGCAGAAUCUGCCAGUGGACUGGUUUAUUUCCUUCUGCAAUCAACCAUGUUCUGAUUAAUGAGUAUCAUCCUAAUCAAGGGAUCAUGCCACACCAAGAUGGUCCUGCCUAUUUUCCUGUUGUCGCUAUCAUAUCCCUUGCUUCAGCGGUUGUGCUUGAUUUCACACCCCAUGGAAAGCUCAGAGGGCUCGAACAUACACAUCUCCAAAAUACACAAUCUGAUGAGUUGCAGGAGAGUAAUGGUUCUUAUAAGGUUGAAGGCAUGAAGGAAGCUGGUCCUGCUUCUUCGUCACUUCUACUAAUGCCCUGCAGCCUCUUAAUAUUCAAAGAUCAGGCUUAUACAGACUUCCUACAUGGUAUACAAGACAAUGAGCUGCAUAAUCUAGACAAGGUUGCAAAUGUCUCACAGUGCCCACAAUUCAAGCAUCUAAGCCAUGAUUACAGCCCAGGCAAAGCAGAUAGCAGUGUUAGCUCUGAGCCAAGUGGCACCUUCCGCAGGACCACGACAAGAGUCUCGUUGACGUGCCGGCUAGUGUUGAAUGUGCAUAGUAAGCUGUUUAAAUACUAG
rnacentral:rRNA from 1 species